rnacentral:rRNA from 1 species
GAUGAACGCUGGCGGCGUGCCUAAUACAUGCAAGUCGAGCGAACAGACGAGGAGCUUGCUCCUCUGACGUUAGCGGCGGACGGGUGAGUAACACGUGGAUAACCUACCUAUAAGACUGGGAUAACUUCGGGAAACCGGAGCUAAUACCGGAUAAUAUAUUGAACCGCAUGGUUCAAUAGUGAAAGACGGUUUUGCUGCCACUUAUAGAUGGAUCCGCGCCGCAUUAGCUAGUUGGUAAGGUAACGGCUUACCAAGGCAACGAUGCGUAGCCGACCUGAGAGGGUGAUCGGCCACACUGGAACUGAGACACGGUCCAGACUCCUACGGGAGGCAGCAGUAGGGAAUCUUCCGCAAUGGGCGAAAGCCUGACGGAGCAACGCCGCGUGAGUGAUGAAGGUCUUCGGAUCGUAAAACUCUGUUAUUAGGGAAGAACAGAUGUGUAAGUAACUAUGCACGUCUUGACGGUACCUAAUCAGAAAGCCACGGCUAACUACGUG